rnacentral:tRNA from 1 species
AUUUAAGUAGCUUAAGAUAUUAAAGUUUUACAUUGAAAAUGUAAAGAUAAAUUGUUUGUUUCUUGAAUA